rnacentral:rRNA from 1 species
GUCGCACGAGAACGCUUCAGCUUGCUGAAGUUAGUAAAGUGGCGCACGGGUGAGUAACGCGUGGGUAAUCUACCCCCGAAUUGGGGAUAACAUCGCGAAAGCGAUGCUAAUACCGAAUGAUAUCUUGAAAACUCUGUUUUCUGGAUUAAAGAUGGCCUCUACAUGUAAGCUAUUGUUUGGGGAUGAGCCCGCGUACCAUUAGCUUGUUGGUAGGGUAAUGGCCUACCAAGGCAACGAUGGUUAGCUGGUCUGAGAGGAUGAUCAGCCACACUGGAACUGACACACGGUCCAGACUCCUACGGGAGGCAGCAGUGAGGAAUUUUGCGCAAUGGGGGAAACCCUGACGCAGCAACGCCGCGUGAGUGAUGAAGGCUUUCGGGUCGUAAAGCUCUGUCAAGUGGGAAGAAACCAUAUGGUAUUAAUACCGCCAUAUGUUGACGGUACCAUUGAAGGAAGCACCGGCUAACUCCGUG